ACGGCUGCCAUUGUUCCUUGUCCCUCAGGGCUGCCAUUGCUGCCCUUGCUGCCCCUGCUGCCAGUGCUCCUCAUCUCUCAGGGCUGCCAUUGCUCCUUGUCCCUCAGCCAUUGCCACCAGUCACCGUGUCCCCCAGAACUGCCACCCCCCAGUGCACCUUGUCCCUCAUUCACCAUGGCCCUGCACCUUGUCCUUCUGCUGCUGUUGUCUGCUGGCUCCUGCUUUCAGCCACCACCGCCCAGCAGCAUCUUUUGUCCCUCAGUGCCACCUCCCAAGCUCACCAGUCACCCCAGUGUGUUUAAGGACAGGCUGAGGUCGUGGUGGCAUGGGCUCGUUUCGGAGGGUGCUCUGGAAACGGGUGUAAUGUCUGCAAAGGGAAACUGAGGGACUGCAAGCCUCCACCACAUCAGAAACUCGGGCACUUCUGCUUUUUGAUCUCAGUUUUCACGAUAUAAUGGAGUGGAGAUUAUGAACAACACUUCAUCUGUAAAUAAUAAAGCUUGAUCCAGAACUUAAGCUGAUGAAACACAGGAAA